GGCGGGUUAGCUCAGUUGGUUAGAGCGGAUGAAUCAUAAUCAUUAGGUCGGGGGUUCAAGUCCCUCACCCGCUACCA
rnacentral:tRNA from 1 species